rnacentral:rRNA from 1 species
UACUCCUACGGGAGGCAGCAGUAGGGAAUCUUCCGCAAUGGACGAAAGUCUGACGGAGCAACGCCGCGUGAGUGAUGAAGGCUUUCGGGUCGUAAAACUCUGUUGUUAGGGAAGAACAAGUGCUAGUUGAAUAAGCUGGCACCUUGACGGUACCUAACCAGAAAGCCACGGCUAACUACGUGCCAGCAGCCGCGGUAAUACGUAGGUGGCAAGCGUUAUCCGGAAUUAUUGGGCGUAAAGCGCGUGCAGGUGGUUUCUUAAGUCUGAUGUGAAAGCCCACGGCUCAACCGUGGAGGGUCAUUGGAAACUGGGAGACUUGAGUGCAGAAGAGGAAAGUGGAAUUCCAUGUGUAGCAGUGAAAUGCGUAGAGAUAUGGAGGAACACCAGUGGCGAAGGCGACUUUCUGGUCUGUAACUGACACUGAGGCGCGAAAGCGUGGGAGCAAACAGGAUUAGAUACCCUGGUAGUCCACGCCGUAAACGAUGAGUGCUAAGUGUUAGAGGGUUUCCGCCCUUUAGUGCUGAAGUUAACGCAUUAAGCACUCCGCCUGGGGAGUACGGCCGCAAGGCUG